rnacentral:rRNA from 1 species
ACGGAAGGCAGCAGUAGGGAAUCUUCGGCAAUGGGGGCAACCCUGACCGAGCAACGCCGCGUGAGUGAAGAAGGUUUUCGGAUCGUAAAGCUCUGUUGUAAGAGAAGAACGUGUGUGAGCGUGGAAAGUUCACACAGUGACGGUAACUUACCGGAAAGGGACGGCUAACUACGUGCCAGCAGCCGAGGUAAUACGUAGGUCCCGAGCGUUGUCCGGAUUUAUUGGGCGUAAAGCGAGCGCAGGCGGUUUAAUAAGUCUGAAGUUAAAGGCAGUGGCGUAACCAUUGUUCGCUUUGGAAACUGUUAGUCUUGAGUGCAGAAGGGGAGAGUGGAAUUCCAUGUGUAGCGGUGAAAUGCGUAGAUAUAUGGAGGAACACCGGUGGCGAAAGCUGCUCUCUGGUCUGUAACUGACGCUGAGGCUCGAAAGCGUGGGGAGCAAACAGGAUUAGAUACCCUGGUA